AGGCUUGUAGCUCAGGGUGGAAGCUAGAGCGCACCCUGAUAAGGGUGAGGUCGGUGGUUCAAGUCCAUCAGGCCUACCA
rnacentral:tRNA from 1 species